AUUUAUUAUUACCUUUUCUUUCAAACAUGAGUUGUAAUGAAACAACUUCAAAACCUAAAAGAGGAAGACCAAGAAAAAAAAUACAUAUCUAGUGAAGAGAGUGAAUUAUCAUCUGAUUCUACCUCUUCUAGUGUCAAAAAAAUAACAUUGUUAAAUCAGGAAAUCGGAGGAGUAGUAGAUUAAAGAAAAAUGAAUGUGCAGAAAAUCGUAGUAGAUUAAAGAACAAAGAAUGUUCAUAUAGUGGAAAUGUUGAUAAAGAUAAUCUACAAGAUGAUAAGCAACAAAAACAAUUUGAAAGCCAACAAAAUGAAGAUGAGGUUA